GAUGAACGCUGACAGAAUGCUUAACACAUGCAAGUCUUUGGCGAAGCUGUGCUUGCACAGCCUAGCCAAGGCGGACGGGUGAGUAACGCGUAAGGAACUUGCCCUGCAGUCAGGGAUAACAGACGGAAACGACUGAUAAGACCUGGUAAAGUCAGGCGGACUCAUGUCCAGCCUGAUGAAAAGAGAUGCUGCAGGAGAGCCUUGCGUCCUAUUAGCUUGUUGGUGGGGUAACGGCCCACCAAGGCGAUGAUAGGUAGCCGGCCUGAGAGGGUGGACGGCCACAAGGGGACUGAGAUACGGCCCUUACUCCUACGGGAGGCAGCAGUGGGGAAUAGUGGACAAUGGGGGCAACCCUGAUCCAGCAAUUCUGUGUGCACGAUGAAGGUUUUCGGAGUGUAAAGUGCUUUCAGAAGGGAAGAAAAAAAUGACGGUACCUGCAGAAGAAGCGACGGCUAAAUACGUG
rnacentral:rRNA from 1 species